AUGUCCAAUCCAGAGUACAUAGUCUUUACAGACAGUGAACUUGAGCAAGCUCGACGUUCCUACUUUGAAAAGAAGCGGCUGGGGACAGAGUGUGCUGAACCUUUGUCAAAGGAACUCUUUUGUCGACUCGUAAGAAACACCAUGACAAACAUGAUUUCCAUAGCAAGAGCAGCCGAGGACUCCAGAUACCCCAGCAAACAUGAGGUUGAUGCCAUGGCAAAGCGAUUAAUGGAGUACUACCCAAUGCUUAAAGAAACGUGUGGUGAGUGGGAGCAUGUUGCUAAAAAGCUAAUGAAGAGACUCUCCAAUGUCAAAAGUCCAAGGAAGGGCAAAAAACCACCUGCGAAGAAGCCAAGAAAGGAUGGGAAUGAAAGCAUUGCAAAAAGUGACAGCAGUGGGGAAUCCAGUGCAUCAACUAUUAUUCUAGAUAGAUCACCAGUUAGAUCGAUGGGCACCCCAGUGCACCACCAGGAUGGCAGUGAUGAAGAAUCUGGUUCAGCUGACUUCUUUGACAGCCACAAAACCCAGGCAAGACACUACAAGACACUUCAAGACAUGUACAAGACCAAAAAACCGAACAAAGCUGCUGUUACCCAACUGCUGAACCUGGAGUUUGAGUCUAGAAGACAAUUCAUUAACUCUGAUGCUAUAAAGGAGCAAGACAGAGCAGUGAAGAUACUAGAGGCGUAUCCUUGUUUCAGAGAACUGGAUCAUGUCCUUGAUGAGCUGCGGAGAAUUAUUCAACCAUCCAACUUGAAAUACAUUUCUGAGAUGAAGGAUAGAUGGGAAAUCUUCUACUCAAAGGUGCAGUUUUAUGGUGUCAUGAAGAAAGUUAUGAAGCCGCCAAAAACUUUGGAUGGAGUGGAACAUGCAGCAGCUGUGUUCGGAGCCCUUCCCAUGCUUUUCCCUUCCAGCACAGUACCACCUAAGAAGCUGGGCAUCUGUAGUGAGGCUUUUUUCCAUGUCCUAAAGACUUCAGAAGACCCUGAAGGCUACCUGCGUCAGCGACCCCUGGCUUGUCCAGUUCUGCUUGUCUCUGAAGGCAACUGCAUGAUAGCUGUUGGAACCACAGCGGUGAGCACUUUUGACCGGAAGGAUCUUAAUGAGGGACUGCUCUAUCUGAUGGCAUAAUACUAUGCCCUCCACCUCACAUAUCCAAAGUGCAUUUCCACGCUGCUGUCUGUCUUGCAAACUGAAAUACUCAAAGACUCCAUCCAUGACCGAGAUUCAACCCCCUCUUACAGGAAGGCUCUUGGUGAGUGGAAGUCAUUCAUUGAGUGAGUCUCUCAGAUGACAGACUCCAUCUGCCUUGUUUAUCAGUCUCAGUGUUAGUCAGUGAGGUUGUUUUUCUUUUCUUUUUUUUCUCUAGAAAAGUUGUUCAAAUGUAAAACACAUGUUUGUUUGUGUGGUCGUUAAACUUGUUCUUCUAAAAUGUUAUGUAAUAUAGUAUUUGCAAUAGUGAUUGUUUUAAGCUUCAGCAAAAUUUAUUUUUGAUACCAGCCAUGUUAUACUGUUAUUAUUCAUGUUAAGAGCACUUGGCCAUGUUACACCCUGCUGAAAUGUAUAAUUUUAGACAUGAUUCUACUGACCCAAUAAAGCGCAAAAACUAAGAGUGCUUUUGCUGUCUUAAUUUAAGAUAAAUUCCCUUAUUUUUAGUAGGUUUUUGAAGAGAUGGUGUCUUAUUCUCAGGAAUUUUGGCUGAUUAUUGUUCUCAGACUCGAAACAUAAUUCUUAUAGUUAGCUCAAUCAAGAAAGAAACAAUUCAGAUUUAAGAAAAUUUGUCCUAUAGUAAGGUGUUUUUUUUUAUGUGAAAAAUCUAAAUUAAGGUGUAGAAUCUUAAAGUAAGCAAAUAAUUCUUGAAAACAGCUUGUUCAAGAAAUCAUAAUACUCAUUUUAGGUACAGAUUUUCUAAAUAUCAAAGUGUCUUUUACUUAUAAUAAGUCACAUUUUCUUGAAUUAAGCAUACAUUUUAGACAAUUUUGUCUAGUUAAAAGGCAUAUGGCAGUUAGGUUAAUUUGCUAGUUUUAAGAAUUCUAGUCAAGCAACUUUUGCUUACCCCAUUGGCAGAUUUUUUUGCUCAAAACAAGAAAAUUUUGUCAGAUUUAAGAAUAUUUGGCUUGUUUCAAGUAUAGCUGUUUUUGCAGUGUAAUGCUUCAGUGUGUCACAUCAGACAGCAGCAAAUCUCAGAUGACAGAAAGGCACAGAUGAAGUAAGUCCGUGAAACAUUAGGCAGAAGCUCCCCUGGAGGAGACUGUUACUCAUAUACAUGCAUCUCCAACCAAAGACUUAUCAAACGUGGCACGUCUGCUACAGCUUUUUGAAGGGCUUCACCCGCCCUACACACCGGGCUUAAUCACAAGCACAUGGUAAUGGGACGUGUGUGACGGUAGGCUUAUUGAGAGUAAGGCAUGGCCGAAUUGAUUUCAAGUAUCUGCCAAACGUUUUAUCGGCCUCUUGCUAAGCACCCCGCUAAACGGUCGUGUCAGAAUGCUAUUAUAGUCCGAGCACGAAGAAGGCAUAACUGCUCCUUAAAUCACAACUAUAAAUGUGUUUAUUUUUGUCAUCACAACCGAAAAGAAGGGAUGCAUUAAAUAAUAGAUGUGCAACUUAAAGACCAGAAAGGAAAUAAGGGAUGAGAGUAUCUAUGGCAGAAAUUGUAAAUCCGCAUUUAAUGCCUCAGUCUCAAAUGGUAUCCACAGAACAUCAAAGACCCCCAACCCUCCAUCUCAAAAAAAUAAAAUCUAAGAAAGCAAAGCACACAGAGGAUUACUCUCCUCCAAUCGCAUACAUCCACUCUGACGGGAUCUCGCCACUCCUCGCUAACAGACCCCCCCUCCCACGCUGAGAAUGAGAAGCAUUACAUGGUGAAAGGAAAAGAGCAGGGGUGGAGGGAGCGGAGGAGUGGGAGCAGCGGGAAAGAAAAUAAAGCUAGAAGUGUGAGUCGGUCAAUACUGAGAUGUAACCUGACACGGAGACAGGCAAAUCAGGUAAUGGGAAGAUGGAGAGAGAGGGUUAGAGUGUUUGCCCUUUAAAGGACAAGGGAGCACUUAGGGUCUCUGAGAACAGGCACUUAAAUAAGUCUUUACACACACACACACACACACAGCUGGCUGAAAUGAGAUGAUGUCUGACAUCAUCCAAAACAUUUACACUUUGCUGUUAUUUUCUGCUAAUACAACAUACAGUAAUAGAGUUUUAACUCGCUGGGUGUUAUUAUUGUUUAAGAAUGUGAUCAUACUGCAUUUACCCUCUGGCUGCUCAUAUUACAGUGUGAUCAAUAUUAAUCGAGUACAGCAAGUAGGAGUCAGGUAGAGUGAUUAGAUUAUGAUCUCAAUACUUUAUGCUGCACUUAGGGCUUGGAUUAGCACGCAUUUUGUCCAGCCCAAAUAUCCAGAUACUUUAGAAU
rnacentral:lncRNA from 1 species